rnacentral:rRNA from 1 species
UACGGAGGGGGCUAGCGUUGUUCGGAAUUACUGGGCGUAAAGCGCACGUAGGCGGCUUUGCAAGUUAGAGGUGAAAGCCCGGGGCUCAACUCCGGAAUUGCCUUUAAAACUGCAUCGCUAGAAUUGUGGAGAGGUAAGUGGAAUUCCGAGUGUAGAGGUGAAAUUCGUAGAUAUUCGGAAGAACACCAGUGGCGAAGGCGACUCACUGGACACGUAUUGACGCUGAGGUGCGAAAGCGUGGGGAGCAAACAGG